rnacentral:rRNA from 1 species
UACGUAGGGUCCGAGCGUUGUCCGGAAUUAUUGGGCGUAAAGAGCUCGUAGGCGGUCUGUUGCGUCGGCUGUGAAAACCCGGGGCUCAACUCCGGGCCUGCAGUCGAUACGGGCAGACUAGAGUUCGGUAGGGGAGACUGGAAUUCCUGGUGUAGCGGUGAAAUGCGCAGAUAUCAGGAGGAACACCGGUGGCGAAGGCGGGUCUCUGGGCCGAAACUGACGCUGAGGAGCGAAAGCGUGGGUAGCAAACAGG